UGAAGGUUACCUCAGUUGGAAGAGCAUGAGGCUCUUAAUCUCAGGGUCUUGGGUUCAAGCCCCAUGUUGCGUAA